UGGGGAAUUUUGGACAAUGGGCGAAAGCCUGAUCCAGCAAUGCCGCGUGUGUGAAGAAGGCCUUCGGGUUGUAAAGCACUUUUGUCCGGAAAGAAAUCCUUGGCUCUAAUACAGUCGGGGGAUGACGGUACCGGAAGAAUAAGCACCGGCUAACUACGUGCCAGCAGCCGCGGUAAUACGUAGGGUGCAAGCGUUAAUCGGAAUUACUGGGCGUAAAGCGUGCGCAGGCGGUUUGCUAAGACCGAUGUGAAAUCCCCGGGCUCAACCUGGGAACUGCAUUGGUGACUGGCAGGCUAGAGUAUGGCAGAGGGGGUAGAAUUCCACGUGUAGCAGUGAAAUGCGUAGAGAUGUGGAGGAAUACCGAUGGCGAAGGCAGCCCCCUGGGCCAAUACUGACGCUCAUGCACGAAAGCGUGGGGAGCAAACAGGAUUAGAUACCCUGGUAGUCCACGCCCUAAACGAUGUCAACUAGUUGUUGGGGACUUCAUUUCCUUAGUAACGUAGCUAACGCGUGAAGUUGACCGCCUGGGGAGUACGGUCGCAAGAUUAAAACUCAAA
rnacentral:rRNA from 1 species